rnacentral:rRNA from 1 species
CAGUAACACGUAGUUAAUCUACCCUAUAGUGGGGCAUACCCACGGGAAACUGUGGCUAAUUCCCCGUAGGCCACGCGGACUGGAAUGUUGCGUGACCCAAAGACGUGUGAGGCUAUGAAAGCACGAUCGCUAUAGGAUGAGACUGCGGAGGAUUAUGGUUGUUGGUGGGGUAACGGCCCACCAAGCCUUUGAUCCGUACGGGCCGUGAGAGCGGGAGCCCGGAGAUGGGAACUGAGACACUGUCCCAAGCCCUACGGGGUGCAGCAGGCGCGAAAUCUCCGCAAUGCACGCAAGUGUGACGGGGCCAUCCCGAGUGCCUUCGGGCUUUUCUAUAGUGUAAGAAGCUAUAGGAAUAAGGGGAGGGCAAGGCUGGUGCCAGCCGCCGCGGUAAAACCAGCUCCUCAAGUGAUUCGGACUUUUACUGGGCCUAAAGCGUCCGUAGCCGGGCCUGCAAGUCUUCGGUUAAAUCCGGCAGCUUAACUGUCGGCCCGCUGG